CGUAGAUGGCAAGAUCCGGUCCUCCACCAGACGCACCUUCAGGCGCAGAGCUCCCAGCUUGCCACUGGAAACCAACAACGACAAAAGGAUCAGUUCAGGAAUUGGUUAAGUGGGGAAUUUCCUGCAGUAACCUCAAACUAUAAAACAGAUGCUGUCAGAGCCCUUGCCCUCCACCUGUUACUCUUCAUUUAAAUGCAUAAAAGGGAGCAUGGAGGUGAGCAACUGUCUGUCCUCCUGUGCAUUGAAAGAA